UACGUAGGGGGCGAGCGUUGUCCGGAAUUACUGGGCGUAAAGAGCGCGUAGGUGGUUUGUCGCGUUGUCCGUGAAAACUCACAGCUUAACUGUGGGCGUGCGGGCGAUACGGGCAGACUGGAGUACUGCAGGGGAGACUGGAAUUCCUGGUGUAGCGGUGGAAUGCGCAGAUAUCAGGAGGAACACCGGUGGCGAAGGCGGGUCUCUGGGCAGUAACUGACGCUGAGGAGCGAAAGCGUGGGGAGCGAACAGG
rnacentral:rRNA from 1 species